CCUACGGGAGGCAGCAGUGGGGAAUCUUGCACAAUGGAGGAAACUCUGAUGCAGCGAUGCCGCGUGAGUGAAGAAGGCCUUUGGGUUGUAAAGCUCUUUUGUAGGGGAAGAUAAUGACUGUACCCUAAGAAUAAGGUCCGGCUAACUUCGUGCCAGCAGCCGCGGUAAUACGAAGGGACCUAGCGUAGUUCGGAAUUACUGGGCGUAAAGCGCGCGUAGGCCGUUGAGUUAGUUAAUUGUGAAAUCCCAAAGCUUAACUUUGGAACUGCAAUUAAAACUGCUCGACUAGAGUUUGAUAGAGGAAAGCGGAAUACAUAGUGUAGAGGUGAAAUUCGUAGAUAUUAUGUAGAACACCAGUUGCGAAGGCGGCUUUCUGGAUCAACACUGACGCUGAGGCGCGAAAGUAUGGGUAGCAAAGAGGAUUAGAUACCCUCGUAGUCCAUACCAUAAACGAUGAUUGCUAGAUGUUGGAAAUUUAUUUUCAGUAUCGCAGCUAACGCAUUAAGCAAUCCGCCUGGGGAUACGACCGCAAGGUUAAAACUCAAAUGAAUUGACGGNUGAGAGNGCGAGCGACACGAGGAGAG
rnacentral:rRNA from 1 species